UACGGAGGGUGCAAGCGUUGUUCGGAUUUACUGGGCGUAAAGGGCGCGUAGGCGGCGUGGUAAGUCAGCUGUGAAAUCUCCGAGCUUAACUCGGAACGGUCAGCUGAUACUGCUGUGCUAGAGUACAGAAAGGGCAAUCGGAAUUCUUGGUGUAGCGGUGAAAUGCGCAGAUAUCAGGAGGAACACCAAUUGCGAAGGCAGCUCGCUGGGACGUGACUGACGCUGAGACGCGAAAGCGUGGGGAGCAAACAGG
rnacentral:rRNA from 1 species